CUACAUGGUGAGGACCCGCCUGCGGGCUAGCCCUGCCCUGGGCCCUGUGGCAGGGGCUGAAUGUGCACUGCUCCACAUGGCAGUGAGCCCCUGUGCCUGGCAGUGCAGCUCCAGGAAUCCAUAUUGAAUGCCUACUUUAUGCCAUCCGUUGUUCUCCCUUGUUAUGCAGAGGGAACAAAACCUAAUAUUUGCCCUUCGGAUGCUCACGGCUCCAUCACACCAACUAGCAUCUACUGAACAGCUCAGGAGGUAUUUAGUAAACAUUUUUUUUUUUUUUUAAGUAACGGAUUAAUGAAUGCAUAGAAUUAAGCCUUUGUCUUAAGAGUCCUAAACGCAGUUGGGGAUGCCAGACGAAGUAUAUUUAGAGACUGAGCCCAAAGGGUAAGUUCUAUAAGCUUAUAUAGCUAUGUUUACCUAGCGUUCGCAAACUGGAGAAGCUAUAAUCACUCCGUACAUAGCUAUUGUAGGGGAGGAAGCAACUGAUUUUGCUCUACCUGUCUUAGGUUCAUUGGCUGGGGUCCUCAAAUUAGACUGGCAAAUGACAGAUUAACAAGAGAAAAACAAAUAAAAGCUUAUUAACGUGUGCUUCACGCAUCUACACAGGAGUGCUCUGUGAUCAGUAGAUCAAAAGGGUGGUUGGAACCUGGGCUUGUAUAACAUCUUAGCAAAGUAUAGUAAUUUUGUAGAGAAGUGACGUGACAAAGAAAAAGGACUUUGAGCUUCUAGGGAAAGCAAAUUGUGGGAAGGCAAAUAUAUGGGGAAACUAAUGGAAAUUUCCUCAGUGCCAUCUUAACUCCAGUGGUACAGGAAGUGGGGAAAGGGGACACCUUAACAAGGGGGAUUUAUGUUCUGUUUUCAGGCAGAGAGGUAGAGGGCAGAGAACUUUUCUUAUAUCUGCUUCUUCUCAGUUGCUUUCAACUCAAUCCUUGUGCCAAAGUGACAUCUUUUGGGAUGGUGUGUUAUACUACUCUUUACUAUGAACUAGCAAAACGAUGAGAUCCUAUCUCUGAGAUAGCAGGAGAAUUCAUUCCGUGCCAGGUACUGUGGUAAUUUUGUAAUCAUUAUCUGGUUAACCCUUCUCACAACCUCCCAGGGCAGGUUCUAUCAGGAGUCUAAUACUCACUUUAUAGCUGAGGAAAGUGCACCAUCUAAAGGGACCCGUUCCUAUCACAGAGCUGGCAAAGAAGCCAACCAACAGAAAAUGGACCAAGACAGGUCUGAAUACAAGUCUCACUGGACCGGGAACCCCGGUGCUCCAACCACUAUUUGCCCCACUGAUGUGACAACAACAGAAAGGAGCUUCUUGGUAACAGUCGGUGGACCUACUCCCAUUCCACUUUAGAGUGCCGAUGGGGUUUUGGGGUGAUGGGGGUCCGGACCUGAUGGCCAAGAAAGAAUUCUUGAGACAUCUUUGGUGCAAAAAAGAUGAAAACCAGCGUGUCCACUGGUGAGGCUAAUGUUCCUGUGAGCUGGGGCCAGGAAAAGGCAGCAGACAAAGGGAAUAGUCAGCCAAGUAGAGUUUGCUGGAGAUUUACGUGGAAACCUCCUCACAGAGGCAGUGCUGCUGGAUUUAUAACAAGGAUGAUAUCAUCCAAACUCUCUGGCAUCCCCAUAGAGGACUUUGAAGAUUACGACUGUCUUCUGUUACUCAGUCUUCCUCUGCCCAUGCUUUCCAUAUUCUUCGUGCAGACGGGGUCAUAGACUUUCCCAUCUCAUCCCUUGAAUCUGAAUCACCUAUGGGACUUGCUUCGGCCAAUGAGAAAUUAAUAAAUAUGAUGCAAAGAAGAGGCUUGAAAAAUGCCUGCAUAUAAGCUUCCUACAGUUGCCCACAGAUGCACGAGUGAGCCCAGCAAAGCUCAUGAGAAGAACUGCCCAGCUGAGCCCAGCCCGAGUGGCUGCCUCAUAAAAUCAUGAGUUAAAUAAAUGGCUAUUAUUUUAAUCAGCUAAA